GAUGAACGCUAGCGGCAGGCCUAACACAUGCAAGUCGAGGGGCAGCGGGGAGUAGCAAUACUUUGCCGGCGACCGGCGCACGGGUGCGUAACGCGUAUGUGACCUACCUAUAACAGGGGGAUAACCCAGAGAAAUUUGGACUAAUACCCCAUAUUAUUAUUGAGCUGCAUGGUUUGAUAAUGAAAGACGCGAGUUGGUUAUAGAUGGGCAUGCGUGACAUUAGCUAGUUGGUAAGGUAACGGCUUACCAAGGCUACGAUGUCUAGGGGAACUGAGAGGUUAAUCCCCCACACUGGUACUGAGACACGGACCAGACUCCUACGGGAGGCAGCAGUGAGGAAUAUUGGUCAAUGGUCGGAAGACUGAACCAGCCAUGCCGCGUGAAGGAAGAAUGUCCUAUGGAUUGUAAAACUUCUUUUANAUAGGAAUAAAAACCUCCCACGUGUGGGAGCUUGUAUGUACUAUAUGAAUAAAGCCAAUCGGCUAAACUCCGUGCCAGCAG
rnacentral:rRNA from 1 species